GUCAUUAUCGACAGCUGCAACCCUGUUAUCCUCGGCAGCUGUAACAAGACGUUCACGGACAGCUGUAACAAGACAAUCGUCGACGGCUGUACCUAGGCCCUGAGAGACGGGUGGGUGGAGGUGCAGGUGUCCGGGAGCAGCUGUCAAGGUCUGGUGGAAACAGCUGCGUUCACCGCCAGUCAACAAGCUGCCAACCAGGGUCCUGGUAUCACCACUUGGGCUGUAAGGGUCACCAUCUGGACCGCUUGGUUCACCAUCUGGACCGCUUGGUUCACCAUCUGGACCGCUUGAUUCACCAUCUGGACCGCUUGGUUCACCAUCUGAGCUGCUUGGUUCACCUUCUGAGCUGUUUGGUUCACCAUCUGGGAUGCAGAUUAACCCCUUGGAUUGGCAGGACACUGAGAAUGCAAGGUCACCAUUUGGGCUGCAAGGUUCACCACCUGGAAUGUCAGGGCACCAUUUAGGGCGCAAGGUUCAUCAUCUGAGGCGUCAGGUAGAUCGUCUGGACUGUCAGAUCACCAUCUGGGCUGUCAGAUCACCAUCUGGACUGUCAGAUCACCAUCUGGACUGUCAGAUCACCGUCUGGACUGCCUAGUUCACCAUCUGGACAAUCGAUUUCACUAUCUAAAGCACCAGGUCCAGAACCUGGACUGCCAGGUCACCAUCUCGACUGCCAGGUCACCAUCUGGCCUGCUAGGUCACCAUCUGGGCUGCCAGGUCACCAUUUAGACUGUUACGAUCACCAUCUGAGACGCAAGUUUCACCACCCAGGUUCAUGACAGGUCAAGAAGUCGUCAGCGGGACCUCGUGGCCCGUUACAAGGCUGAACAGAGUGAGAAAAACAAAACGCACAAUAGGCUUAUCAGACUCAUUGUGUUCCUGUCGUCACACUGGUUUGCCAACUCCAAUGUCAAUGAUUACCUCCCUGUUAUUAUCAAGGUAAUGGAGCUGUAGAGUCCAUUAUACUUACCCUAAAUAACAAGGGCACAGGGGGUAGGGGUGGAGGUGGCUGGGGCUGCACCUGAGGACAUUAUUUCAUUGAUCAGUGUGGUGGCGGCAGCACGUGGUCUUCACACCUGGCCCCAAGAACACUCAACUUAGGUUUCAGACGUCAAUUCAUUCUCUUCACUACGAGGCCUGGGUUGUCUGCAUUACAACUCCUAAUAUUGACGUUGCAGCAUUAAAAUAAGCAUACAGUGAUAACUCUUGGUAAGGGAAAGUAAACGAGUACACUCUAGUUAGGGCGAGUCGGCAUAACUGUAGCGAGAGUUUGGCUAACUAAGGUUCAUUAAAUAGUGAUGCUCAUUGGGGACUAAAGGCCAUAGCACAACAGCUUGCGUACUCCCACGUGUUGAAUCAUUGACUAACAAAAACCGUUAAGCGGUGUACAGGACGACAUCUGUCCAAUAAUCGGCGGGAUCAAUUAUUUAAUAUCUGGCCAGCUGCUACUUAGCGCGCGCAAACGUAACGCCGCGGUCGUCCUCCGUCAGCUGUUCCGGGUGUGACGACCAUCCACGACUUUCAUUAGAAGUCACAUUUCAUGAUAAUAGGGAUUAAUUGAAGUUAAUUUUGCGUUCGUCCGUAUCAUCUGUAAACCUUAAUUCUGAAUAAACCAAAUAUAACUGUCUUUUAAUAUUGUAAAGUAAUUAAUGUUUAUUAAUGAAAGGUGAGGUCCAGUAAUGAAGGGUAGACAAACAGGCCCAUGUACAGGAGACGGUUAACGCGGCAGCCGUGGAACAUCCGGCUGUGUGUGGGUGCCGCCACUCACACGUGCAGGGAGGCUGUUGCUGCAGCUGUCCGUGUGUCUGUCUGUCGCCUAACACCCGUCGUCCCAGCUGUCCACUGUCUAUGCGUCCGUCUAUCGCCUAACACCGGGCGGGCCAGCUGCGCGGGUAGUGGGCCACACGUGUGUAAACGUUACCAGUGGUAAAUUAGUCAGUGCCCAGCUGGCGGUCAGGUAGAAGCUUUAACGCGCCGCCUUUACCUUAGUGUUGUCCUCGCUCCCAACGUAGCUGUACCAUGUGUGUGGGCAUCCAUCUGUGUCGUGCUGUGUCGGUCUUCAUUUGUGUCAAUGUUAAUUAUGUGCGCAGGUUUACUGGCUGUGAGAAGCGUUGCCACGAUGGUCUGGCGCCCCACCACAACAAACACUGCCCACCCAGGUCCUCUCUCACUCCCUUCUUCAUUAGUUUCAUCUUUUACGCUCACUGUGGUGAAUUAAAAUAUAGGUUUCUCGCCACUGUGAACCUAAUCUGACGUAAAAUAUGUUAUCAGUAUGUGGAGACAACGUGAAGAGCAGCGAAGUGGUGAAGUUGGCAACAGUGGAGGAGAGAAAGCUAAGUUUGGUCAGAGGCGUAACCCACCCAAGAACCCGGUGUAGCGACCACCGUCUUCCCUACCUAUUAUUACUCCAUCUGUUGUUUUGUACGCUCUUUAUACCUCUACAAACAUGGCGUAUGUUCUUGUAUACCCUAUGUUUGUGUGGUUGAUGUAUGUUAGUGUUGUGUUGGGGAGUAUGAAGCAUGUGGCGUGGGAAGGAUUAUAUAUGAGUGUGUGGUGGCACGUGGUAGUGCUGCCAGCCCUUGUGGUUCCCGGGUUGAGGUAUGUGGGUGUGGAGCGUCAAGGUGGUGCUCCAGACCUACCUCCUCCUCCUCCUCCCUCCCCCUACACCCGCCUCAUGUGUCACGCGGGCUGUCCACUAACCCCACCCAACAUCUAACUGUUCCUCCAACCUCUGACCUAACUUAACCAACCCCACCCAACAAACAUCUCACUGUGUUCUGACCCUCAAGACCUAAGCUAACCUCAUACAGCAUCUCACCCUUCAAACUGACCUAAGUUCGUCACCUUUAACAUCAUCCCUACGGUCUCGGCUGCAUAACUAACCUCUUGACUCUUCAUUACCACCCACUACCAUUACCAACCUCAACCAUCACCCUAAUGACAAGGGAAAACAACCAGUCCUCUUAACUUCCGGUUUUACUUAACACGUGUCUCUCCUUCUCCUACACCCCUCACCACUCUUCAUUACCUGUUGGGUCGUGGGGGUCGGAGAAGGGGAGGGGAGGGAGGGAUGAGGUGAGGACCAUCUGAACUCUCACCUCCCGCCAACGCGCUCUCUUGUCACCCCUCUACUUCCUGUAAACAAACGAUCAUAGAAAACGGUGCUUCAAACCCACAGUGUAAAAGACGUCUUAAACAUUUUACGAAGGAAUGCCAUAAGGAGUCUAGGUUAAUAGUACCUACCCCAACACUUUAUAGACCAAGAAGGAAACAUAACUUUAUAAUCAUCCAGAGACAACCUCAGCUCUCGGCCGUAUACUGUAAACUUUAUACUGUACCAUUAUACCAAGUCAGUGCUGCGCUACGCUGUCAUCUGCAUAAUAAUAUCAUGUACAAUUAUCACGACCAUGCUACAACUGCCACCAACAUAACUUUAGUCGAGUGCAAUUGCCUGUCAUGUUAACUCAAGACUGGCAAGCCAACUACACCAUCUAGGAUACUGGGACACAGGAGAGAGAGAGGUGUCUAUUCUCCCCAAGGUGUAGAGCUUUAUGUGUGCGUGAGAUACAUAGUUCAGUGCCAUGAGUUGGAAAGAAGCUUUAGUAGUAGUCUUACGUUAGAUUUACCUGCAACUCAUUUUUCUCCUUACAUUAAGUUUAUAAUGAUUGGUAUAGUGUGGGUACAGCAUGAACUGUUGUAUAUAUAUAUAACAUUAUGUUUUUUGUACAUAUUAUGACUGACUGUAAAUUAAGAUAUAAUAUUCUUACGUGAAAUAAACUAUUUUUUCAAUC
rnacentral:lncRNA from 1 species